GAGCAGGAUAACGACGGAGCAGAAUGUUCCUAUCAAGGCCCUUUUGAGAUGGGAAUUCUUGGAGGGUCUUACCACUUCAGGUGGGGCAACAGGUAGGUUAUCAAGAUCUAAAGGAUCAGCAGCUCCAUUCAACCGAAAACUCCAACCCAAGAUGUAAUGAGAGCUCGCUUUAUCUCCCGUGGCUGCUGAGAAACCAGCAUACAUAGUUUGGUUCAACACAGGAGAUAAAUCUACGACCUCACUGAUCAGAGGUCGAAUUGGCUUUGGAACUGUUCUGGGAGAUAUAGUUACAUUUACCACUUUGCUCAUUCCAUCAUAAUCGAUCCAAGCCUGAAUUGAUUCUCCGUUUUGUAGAUGUACCUCCUCUGUUCUAGAAGUACCAUUAACAUAGUAAUUGGCUGGUUGUGACGCGAUAGAUAUCAUGCUAUUGAUGUUAAUCCCAAUGUGAUUUCCAUCUGUAUCCACACCUUCAUCAUGACCAUCCACAGUGUCGAAUUCAACCAUAAAGAUGUGGUUAGUAUCCUUUCUAUUGUUCGUGUUGUUGAGGACUCCAAGAAAGUGAUCACCCUGAGCACCUGGAAAACCCGGGGAUGGAGAUAAGGUGAAAGCAAAGCCAAAGCCACCAGAGGUUUUCUCAAGAGGGACAAUGGCGAAGACAAAGUAUGUACUAAAUGAAGUAACAUUUUUAGUACUGGAGUUGAAAAUUGGUACAGGAUUGGGGUGGAACGCAUGACCUAUAACAUUUUGUGAUCUAUUAGUGAGCUUAAGUGCACCACUUGGAUUGAUUAUUGCAACUCCAUCUCUAAUGAUAUUUGAGUUAUUGAAUCCAUUGUAAGCAAAAUCAAAAGAUUGAGCUCUCACAAGAAUAGGGAAAAAGAUCAAUGCAAGAAUAACUAGGCUAUAGGGAUUGUCCAUGGAGUUGUUGGAAGUACAAAUUGUUAAGUUUUUUUGUGCAAUAUUUAUAUUCAAUUCAAAGAGACAUUAGAACAUACUUUAUAUGGAAAUGAGGUUGUAUUUUCAAAGUCAAUGCUUCCUCAUUAAUUCAUGGAGACUUUGAAACAGGCAAAAAAAAAUGGGAAUUGGAAGUUUGAGUGUCCAAAGAAAACCUUUAUUUAAAAGAGAAAUAAUCAUAUCAAAGUUAAGUCGUUAUAAGUUGACCUUGAAGUAGCACAUGAGAGAGGGGGUAAAAGGGUUGCUAUAUACACCAUAACUUAAAAGGAUGAUUUGGACUUUGAUUUUUGAACUAUUCAACUUUUUUAGAAUAACAAACAAGCAAGAAGAUCCACAAAGACUUGGGAGUGUUUGAAUUGGUAGUCUAAGACCUUAUUUGUUUGGACUAGGGAUGUAUAUGGUCGGGUUGGUUCGGAUUUUUCAAAUAUCAAACCAAAUCAUUUGUGUCGGAUUUUUGAAUUUGUAAACCAAACCAAACCAAUAAAACUCGGGUUUUUCAACCUCGGGUUUUUUCGGUUUUUUUUCCGGGUUUUCCAGAUUUUCGGGUUUUUUCAGUAAAGUAUUCAUACAAACGUAUAAUUUACUUGUACUUCAAAUAUUUAUUUAAUCCUAUGAAAAUACAACUAUCUAAGUGUUUCUUAAGAAAAUAACACACAAUAUGAUAUGAUUAAUGACACUAAAAUAUCCAAAAAAAUAAUAAUAAUGAAAUCGCGUAAAACAAAUAUUGCAAAUUAAUAAGUCAUAAUGAAAAUGAUCAUAAUUUAAAAGUACUAAAUCAUGCUAAAAUAAGUUUAAUAAGUAUUAGUUACAUGACUAAAUAUUCAAGAAAAUUAAAAUUAGAUUAUGUAUUUUGAUUGUCUUAACCUAUGUAAAACUAAAGAACAAAUAUUCAAUAUUAUUGUCAUUCUUAGUGUUGAAUUGAUUUUCUUUUUUCCGUUAGUAUUAAUUUGAUUUUGAUUUAAGCUUUAUUAUAAUUACCAAUAUCUAUGGACUAUAAUUUUAUUAGGUCAUUAAGAAUUCUAACUUUCAAUCAUGAAAUAAUAUAUUAAAAGAUAAAAACUAUGAAAAAAUAUAAGAAAUAUUUAAAAUUAUAUCAAAGUAAAUAUUUUUAUGUACAAAAUAAAAUUUUAAAAUUAUAUAUAAAUUCGGGUUGGUUUGGUCUUAACCAUUAACAAAAAGUGUGAAAGUAACAAUCGUUUAACCAUUAACAAAAAGUGUGAAAGUAACAAUCGUUUAACCAUUAACAAAAAGUGUGAAAGUAACAAUCGUUUAACCAUUAACAAAAAGUGUGAAAGUAACAAUCGUUUAACCAUUAACAAAAAGUGUGAAAGUAACAAUCGUUUAACCAUUAACAAAAAGUGUGAAAGUAACAAUCGUUUAACCAUUAACAAAAAGUGUGAAAGUAACAAUCGUUUAACCAUUAACAAAAAGUGUGAAAGUAACAAUCGUUUAACCAUUAACAAAAAGUGUGAAAGUAACAAUCGUUUAACCAUUAACAAAAAGUGUGAAAGUAACAAUCGUUUAACCAUUAACAAAAAGUGUGAAAGUAACAAUCGUUUAACCAUUAACAAAAAGUGUGAAAGUAACAAUCGUUUAACCAUUAACAAUAAGACUAGUAAAUUUAGUAUAGUCUUAUUGGGUUAUCGGUUUAACCAUUAACAAAAAUUAUAAAACCGGAAACCGAACCAAUAACCCAAUAAAAAAAUUUGCAAAACCGUUUAAAAACCGUUAGCCCAAUAACCCAAUAUCAAUAAACCAAUAGUGUUUUUUUCGGUUCGGUUUAUUGGUUAAAUCGGUUUUUGCACACCCCUACCCCUAGUUUGGACUUAAUAGAGGUCAGAAUGUGAAUGGUUCAGAUAUUAGACCAUUAAGUGCAUUUACUAUUCUACUUAAAAAUCUCUUAAUAAGUGUGAAAAGGUCUGAAUGAAUCAGAUCUAUGACAGAGUCUUAUUCUCAUUCAAACUCUUUUAAAGACACUUUAACUUCCGAAAAAAAUUGUGCUCUAUAUUUUUUUCUUCAAAAUAAUUUCAAGCCUCUCUCCUUCUCCAACUUUGUUAGUUAUCCAAAUUAUUUCCCUUAAACUUUUAAUUUUUGUUCUUGUGACUUGUUUAUCAAGAAUUGAUAAAAAUUAUUAUAAAGAUUUUAUUUAAUUAAAGUGCAAAACAACUUCAUAAAUAUGUCUUAUCAUAUGAUGAUGCCUUUAUUUUAUAUAUAUAUACGCGCAUUCAAAUUCAGAUGUCUUAAUUUUAAUGAAAACAAAUGAGACUAAAAAUUGUUCUUAGGAGUUCAAUUUAGUUUUAGUAUACACAAAACAUGUGUUAUUAAAUGUCAAACCAUGUUUAAUUAUUUUUAUCCUGUGCACCCUCCACUCAUCAACUGACUAAUUAGGAUAAAAAGCUUUCCAUGUUUAUAUAAAAUACUAGUAACGAAAGCCCGGGCGCUGCCCGGGCCCAACAUUAAUAAAAGUUAUAUUGUUAUUCUCUCCGUCCCAUAUUAGAUGAGAAAUCUUACUAAAUUUUUAUUUUUCUAUAUUUAUUUUGUAGCACUUAUUAAAUUAGGAUAGAAUUAAUUAAUUACUUUUCCAUUUACCCUACAAUUAAUAUGACCAUUCCUAUAUUGUAUGUGUAUUUUUUUGUAACUCAUUUGAAUGUGCAUUGAUAUAAAGAAAGGGCAAAAUGGUGAAGUCUUCCAAUGUAUUAAUGAUUUCUUAAUCACCGUGUAAAGUUGGAAGUGCCCAUCUAAUAUGGGGACGGAGGGAGUAUAGUUUAUGUAUUGUUAUAAAAAUAGUAAAGAUUGUUAUAAUAUAUUUUUGCUCAUAAGUGAGCUAAUAUAGAAACUUAUUUGUCAUUUGUCUUUUUAAUUUCAAUUUUAAAUAGCAAAUAAAUGUAGCGAUAAGAUAUAGGGUAGAAAUGAAGCAUAUCUUUCUAAAUUUAAGUAAAAAUAAACAGAGUAGAAGUAACAUUAGGGUUAUCGAUAGGACGAUUCAUUCGGUUAUUUUUAAAAAAAUUAUAUCAUUCAAUUUUUCGGCUAUUUUAUAAUGUAUAACCAAAAUUAAAAUUUUAAAAUCAUCCCAAUCCUAAUAUAUGUGACACAAGCAGUACAAAAAUUAGUCUUUUUUUUGUUCUCUUGUAGAUAUUUUAAGUUAUUAUUUAUUGUAAAUUAUAGUACUUUUUAUUAAAGUUUUUAAUAACAUAUGUUACUUUUUAUGUUUGAGAGUUAAACCAACUUUUUUUUUAUAUGUGUUUUAAUUUUAUAUGUGUUUUGUCCUUUUCCAGUUUCAAAAACUAAUACUCUCUCCAUUUCAUUUUAUAUGUCAUUUAUUUUUAUAAAUAUAUUGGUUAUUCCCUCUUCUUAUGUCAUAUAUUAUGAAAUUUGAGAAGUUAUUGAAAUUUUUAUAUGAUUGUAAAAAUAUUUUAAAUUGUUAGCUAUUGUGAUUUGUAGUACCUUUUUUUACAGAAUUUUGAAAAUAAUAUUUAUUACUCUCUUUGUUCUAAUUUAUGUGGCACAUGCAAAAUUUCAAAUAUUAACUAUUUUUUAUAUGUCUCUUUACUAUAUUAAGUUGUUAAUUAUUGUAUUUUAUAGUACAUUUUGAACUUAAUUUUUAAAGAAUAUAUGUUAUUUCCCAUGUCCCAAUUUAUGUGGCAUUAAUUGAUAGAUUUGUUGGAGUCGAGCGAAUUUUUUUGUUAAUUAUUGUAAUUUAUAGUUUCUUUUUCGUCAAUUUCAAACAAUAUACGUUUAUCAUAUAAUCCAUUUUAUGUGGUACCAAUAGAAUUUAGAGAGUCAAUUAUAUUUUUUAUAUAACUUUUAAAUAUUUAAGCUAUUAAUUAUUGUAAUGUAUAGUAUUACUUAUAUUAUUUUUGAAUAUAUAUGUUACCUUUUUUAUCCUAAUUUAUAUGGCAUUGAUAGAAUUGAAAGUGUCAAAUAAUUGUUAAUUAUUGUAAUAUAGUAUGUAGUACUUUUUAUGUAGUUUUUACUAUUUUAAAGCAUACUAAGUAUAGUAUUACUUAUAUUAUUUUUGAAUAUAUAUGUUACCUUUUUUAUCCUAAUUUAUAUGGCAUUGAUAGAAUUGAAAGUGUCAAAUAAUUGUUAAUUAUUGUAAUAUAGUAUGUAGUACUUUUUAUGUAGUUUUUACUAUUUAUUCACUCUUCUUAUAUAGUUAAAAUAACGUAAUAAACUAUUCAUGAAAAGGCAAACAAACUACACAGUUGACUAAUGAUACUAAACUUAAUUAUAUGAUUGUUUAGUGAUACUUAAUCUUAAUAUUAUCUUUCUUGGUAGGCAGAUAAUCAAAUUAAGUGAUACGUCAUAUGACUUAAAUAGAAUAAUCAUGAUAUGAUCAUAUGAUGACCAUUUGUUAAGUGGACCAUCAUCUAGUAAUUUAGGACAUCUCUCUUUCGUGAUUCAAAUUUCCCCUAAGGGUAGGGUACUACAAAAAGGAAAUUAAUACUAGAAUACCAAUAAAUCUAAAGUAUUGAUUCUUUCUAGGUCGAUGCCCAAACGGUUAAUUCUUAAUAAUAGGUCCUAGAUGUUUUUUUUUUUUUUUGGUUCUUCAUGUUAAUGCAUUUGGUUUACCUACAACUAAAUUGAUCUUUAAUUGAAUGAACUUUAGAUGGAUCUGGUUCCAAAGUUAAUACCAAAUAAAAUGAUUUCGAUUAUAAAUUUUCGUGCAAUGGCUCAGGAUAAGGCGGUACUUGUAAUAUUUUGACAUGAAUUAUGAUAGAUCAAGUAUCUUAUUCAGAUCUCGAAUUCGAAUUCUGAGAAUGAAAAAUCUCCUAGUAGAAAAUGCUACACAAUGUAAUAUAAAUUAGUUGAACCAAAUUGGAUAUGAUGAGAUGAUUAUACCAAAACAUUAAAAAAAGAUCUACGGCUCUUGUUGAAACCGUGUCAUUUAAUUGAAGAAUUUUAAUAAUUCAAACGUUGACAGGGAAGUAAUUACAUGGAAAAUAUCAGUGCCGUAUGGCUAAGGGUUACUGUGUAUUUUUGCAAGUGAUGGAGAAAGGAGUGGUCCAUGUUUGUAUGACUAAUAUUUUUGUUUAUGAAUAUGAAGUCUCCCCUUCACCUAACUUAACUAAUUCUAAGUGACGAUUCUUAAUUCAGAAAUGUGUUUCUUUAAACGUGUUUCUCCAUCUAGUAAAAUCUAUUAUUAAGAAUUUGGUGGUUAAUAAUAGAUGUUGAAAUGUUGAAAAUUUUUGUGAAAAAUACUUAAAAAUUUUCAUAGCUCGAAACGUCAGAGGUGUCAAAGAUAUUAUUCUUAAAAUGGUAUUUUAUCAGUAAGAUGUGUUAACUAGAAUUCAACAAACUGUUCAAACAUAAACUAGGAGAAGAGACAAUGAAAUUUAAUAAUAAAAAAAAUUCAGCACAAUAGAAUAUAUGAGGAAUAAUUUAUCUUGAUAUUGUUGUCUCUACCAAGUGAAAGGACUUAAAAAUAUGUCCAUGGAUGACAUGAUAAUGGCUGAAGGAUUUAUCACCCUUUUAUUUUAAAAAAAAAACUUAUUUAAAGUGAAGUCAAUGAAAGUAUUUAUAGGCAACGAAUUGAUAGAGAUUAACAUAUGAUAUGAAGAUAAUAGCCAAUCAAAUGAGGUCUGUUACAAAGUUAAAUAAAUGAUUUGUUAUAAUGAAUAUUUGCUCUUAAACUGUCUGAAUCAUGUCACCAUUUUUAUUACAAAUAGAUUUUAUAACGAAUAUUCUACAUAGAUUUUUUUUUUUUUUAUAAUUACAAAUUUACUUUCUAGACUAAUUUUAUAACUUUUCUUCUCUAAAUUACAUGGUUUUUGCACUCCAGCUAAGUGAAAAUGUUGACUUGAGACUUACCUUUUUCCUAGUUAUAUAUUAUUCUAAGCUACUUAAUUAAUCCCAACAAAGUGGUUAAACAAAACAAAAGAAGAGUGUAUGUCCUUUUUACUGAGUUUUCAUCUACCAGAAUGGAGUGAACUAGAUGAUGUCUGUCCGACGGAUAGCGAACGAUGUGAUAUAUUGAUUGUAUCAGUAGAAAAUACUUCCAAGAACUUGGCUGUGAUUUCAUCAACCCUACCAGAUCCAAUACAGCUCAACUGCUGCUCAAAAACUGGAAGUGAUUCAUCUCCAUUGAGGUACUUCAUUACUUGUCUCAUUGUUGGCCUAGCUUCUGGUCUUGGGUGUGAACAAACAAGCCCAAGUCUCAAAAUCAUUUGAACCUCUUUAUCUACAUAGACUGAAUUCAACCUUUGAUCAACUGCAUCAAGAAUAUUACCUAGUUGUAAACAUUCUAUCACCCAAUCAGCUAGUACUAAAGCUCCUUUCCCUGGUUCAUAGACAAUAGGAGGUCUUCCACUAGCUACUUCAAGAAGUAGUACACCAUAUGCAUACACAUCCGUGCUCGUUGAGGCCUUCCCUGUCCGUGUCAAUUCUGGUGCAAUGUACCCUAUUGUGCCAACAACAUUUGUUGUGUGUGAAUUCUUGCCAUGGUCGUAUAAUCUUGCUAGCCCAAAAUCCCCUAAUCGACCAUUCAUUUCACCAUCAAUUAGGACGUUACUGCUCUUCACAUCGCGAUGUAUUACCACUUGUUCCCAUUCUUCAUGCAAGUAAAGAAGCCCUGCAGCAAUCCCUUUGAUGAUGUUAAAUCUCUGUUCCCAUGUUAGAACAAUGUCCCUUUUCUGCCUGUAAAGUAAUGAAUCAAGACUUCCAUUUGGGACAAAGUCAUACACUAGGAGAAGAUCAUUCUUGUUCUUGCACCAGCCUUGUAGGUUGAUCAAGUGUUUGUGCCUUAACCUGCCUAAGCUUUCGAUCUCCGCUGCAAAUUCUCUUAUUCCUUGGAGAGAAUUGCUCGAUAUCUUCUUCACUGCAACCUCGGCUCCAUUAGUAGGCAAAACACCCUUGUAAACAGCACCAAAUCCUCCAACUCCAAUUAGUUCACUUUCCUUGAAUCCCUUAGUUGCCUUGUAAAGAUCUCUAAAUCGGAACCUGUGAGGACAAUCCAGCUCCCAGUCCUCUAGAACUUCAUGCUGCCUCAUCCUUCUAUAGAUAUAAAAUGCUCCAAGGAGCAGGAUAACCACGGAGCAAAAUGUUCCGAUCAAGGCCCUUUUGAGAUGGGAAUUCUUGGAGGAUGUUACCACUUCAGGUGGGGCAACUGGUAGCUUUUCAAGAUCUAAAGGAUCAGCAGCUCCAUUCAACCGAAAACUCCAACCCAAGAUGUAAUGAGAGCUCGCUUUAUCUCCCGUGGCUGCUGAGAAACCAGCAUACGUAGUCUCUUUCAACACAGGAGAUAAAUCUACAUCCCGACUGAUCAGAGGUAUAAUUGGCUUUGGAACUUUUAUGGGAGAUAUAGUUACAUUUACCACUUUGCUCAUUCCAUCAUAAUCGAUCCAAGCCUGAAUUGAUUCUCUGUUUUGUAGAUCUACUGGUUUUGUUUCAGAAGUAGCAUUAUUAUAGUAAUCAGCUGAUUCUGACGUGAUAUGCCUCAUGCCAUUUCUGUUAAUCCCAAUUUGAUUUCCACCUGUGUCCACACCUUCGUCAUGACCAUCCACAGUGUCAAAUUCAACCAUAAAGAUGUGGUUAGUAUCAUUGCCAUCGUUACUACUGUUGACGACUCCAAGAAAAUGAGCUCCCUUAGCACCCGGAAAACCCGGGGAUGGAGAUAAGGUGAAAGCAAAUCCAAAGCCACCAGAG
rnacentral:lncRNA from 1 species